rnacentral:rRNA from 1 species
UACAGAGGUCCCAAGCGUUGUUCGGAUUCAUUGGGCGUAAAGGGUGUGUAGGUGGCGCCGUAAGUCAGGUGUGAAAUCUCGGGGCUUAACCCCGAAACUGCACUUGAUACUGCGGUGCUCGAGUACUGGAGAGGAGAUUGGAAUUUACGGUGUAGCAGUGAAAUGCGUAGAUAUCGUAAGGAAGACCAGUGGCGAAGGCGAAUCUCUGGACAGUUACUGACACUGAGGCACGAAGGCCAGGGGAGCAAACGGG